AGAGUUUGAUCAUGGCUCAGGACGAACGCUGGCGGCGUGCUUAACACAUGCAAGUCGAGCGAGGCCCACACCUUCGGGUGUGGUGCCCUAGCGGCGAACGGGUGAGUAACACGUGGGCAACCUGCCCCUAGCACUGGGAUAAGCCCGGGAAACCGGGUCUAAUACCGGAUAUGACGUCGGAGGGCAUCCUCCGGCGUGGAAAGGAUUCUGGCUAGGGAUGGGCCCGCGGCCUAUCAGCUUGUUGGUGGGGUGAUGGCCCACCAAGGCGACGACGGGUAGCCGGCCUGAGAGGGCGACCGGCCACACUGGGACUGAGACACGGCCCAGACUCCUACGGGAGGCAGCAGUGGGGAAUAUUGCACAAUGGGCGAAAGCCUGAUGCAGCGACGCCGCGUGAGGGAUGACGGCCUUCGGGUUGUAAACCUCUUUCAGCUCCGACGAAGCGAAAGUGACGGUAGGGGCAGAAGAAGCACCGGCCAACUACGUGCCAGCAGCCGCGGUAAUACGUAGGGUGCAAGCGUUGUCCGGAAUUAUUGGGCGUAAAGAGCUCGUAGGCGGCUUGUCGCGUCGGCUGUGAAAACCUGGGGCUCAACCCCGGGCCUGCAGCCGAUACGGGCAAGCUAGAAUUCGGUAGGGGAGACUGGAAUUCCUGGUGUAGCGGUGAAAUGCGCAGAUAUCAGGAGGAACACCGGUGGCGAAGGCGGGUCUCUGGGCCGAAAUUGACGCUGAGGAGCGAAAGCGUGGGGAGCAAACAGGAUUAGAUACCCUAGUAGUCC
rnacentral:rRNA from 1 species